GGGAUGUGCUCAGAGCAGGGGGGCUGAAGAAUGGACCUUGUUCAUAACACACCCAAACAGGAAUCUGGGGUCACUGUGAUGGGGGGCACAAAACUGUGUCUGCCCUAUGAACAAGUUCCCUACCUGU